CUAAACUUCAAAUUUUAAUUUUUUUCUCUGAGAGAAAUGGAACCUGGCUCUGCUUGGUAGAUCUUUAGUGAUAACACAAGUGUGAGAAUUCCUUCACAAUAUCUUAGAAGAUUAUUAGGUCACAGAAUAUUAGUAUCCUAUGUAGGUACUUAUAUAAAGAAAGAAUUUGUACAUUCUGAUUGUUUGGGGCAACAUUGUAAAUAGAUAUCUAUUUCUGGAUUAUUUACUAGAAAAAUGAAUGAGGAAACAAGUAGAAUUAAGUACCAUUAAUGUCUAGCAAAAAAUAUAUAAUUCUAUGUCCAAUAUAUAUAAUUAUAAUGCUCUUAAUUCUAAGUGUGGACAACUUUUUGACAUUUUUCUUUACUUCUGCUUUCCUUUGGUGAGUUGCUAUAUAAUAGGAAAAAGGGUGUGAUGCUAUGGAAGAUGCACUGUCAGUGUAGCAGAAAAGUCUGCCUUUGUGGAAGACCCGAGGGUGCGGCCAGUUGGCAGGCCAUGUGUCUUCAAGGAUGCCUUGCAGGCUGCUGUGCAAUUCAGAAAGGGUGUGAUGCCAUAAAGCCCCACAGACAGUUUCAUCUCUCCUCUACAAGUUGGUGCUGCCUGUCCUGCAAGCCCCAUGCCCUGUUUGGUGACCCCCUGAUGCAAUGUCACUAUUAUCAUCAGAGUGUGAUGCUGUGGGAACCCACUGUCAGCAUGGCAGAAAGGGGUCUGCCUUUCUGGAGGACCAGAAGGUGUUGCUGGUUUGCAGGCCAUGUUUCCUCAGGAGUGCCUCCCAGGAUGCCACAUGGCUAAGAAAGGUUGUGAUGCCAUAAAAGCCUAUGGGCAGUGGAGAAGGAAGUCGGUUCCCAUGUCCUCUAUAAGUUGGUGCCUGAAAGUUUCAUGGCCUGUUUGGUGACCUGCUGCUGUUGUGUCGCUGAGGAGACUAUUCUUGUUACCAAAGUGUGAUGCUGUGGGAACCCACUGUCAGCAUGGCAGAAGGGGAUCUACCUUUCUGGAGGAUCAGAAGGUGGUGCUGGUUUGCAGGCCAUGUUUCCUCAGGAGUGCCUCUCAGGAUGC